AUCUGCAAGGAAACGAUCAUAGAUACAUAAAUGAAAACUAGGGGGAAAUAUGUCUACAUGUAUCUAAACCUGACCUAUUAUAAUGAAGAGUGCAUUUGUGAUUCAAAACAAGCGCUUUCAUGUGUGAUCAACACAUCGUCAAUGCUCUACAUUACAGUUAUGAACUGGAUGCUCAACGAAGACAAAUGCACAUCCAAUAAGAGAUGGCAGGAAACGGAGGAAUUUUUGGUUUCCGGACCCCCAAGUCUAACCGUGGGAAAGACCAAAAUACCACCGUUAAUGGUUCCAUGUUAUAUACCAUGCAAAGAUUCAAUUACAGAGCAAAUGUACAUUAACCAAUUAGCCGCAAGCACAAGUCAACUGUGCCUAUCUAGUGGUACUGAGUUUCUAUUUUAACCAAAAUCUAUUUUAUUGCACUCAUGGAGUUUCGUGAAUUCCACCCUCGGAGUGGAAUCAAAAAUUCAAAAAGCGAAGAAUUCAAUAAGUUACAAGAAAAAUGGUUAACAAUCUAAACACUUUUGAUUGACUGUUGUUUGUUUUAGCCAUAAAUUAGACUCUUUCUUGCCUUAUUUCGUUUAAUGGCGUAUAUUUUGUCUACGUAAAACGAAUUCAUUAAGUGUAACAUGUCGUCAAGUUAUGACAAUGUGGAAAUACAUAAAAUGACAAGCUUAGAAAAGACCAAAUAAUGUAUCAGAUUCGUUUGUAUUUUACCAUUUACUAAUCCAAAAGUUGACAUUGUUUGACAAACCAACCGCUCUUUCUCCAAGACCGGAAACAGUAUGACAUUUUAAACUUUUACUUUACUUUCCCCCCUCCAUUCCAUUAAAAAUUUAUCCUGACCAACAAUUUUGAUAAACAUGCAAUUUAUUAAGAAAAAUUCUAAGGAUAGCUUACUUCAACAGACGAAAACGAGAUACGGCAAAAUGAUUUUCCACAGCCAUUCAUUAUACCACAAAAAAACAAGCUUACAUUUGAAAAGAUUGCCAAAAACCAUUAAUAUAAACAAGGGUUUUUCUACAAAGCUAAACAGAUUACUUAGACUUUGAUGGUUUCCUUUGCAAAUAAAGGAAAUUAAAGGACAUAUCUUCAUUUUAUUGUUACCUAGGACGUCACACGAAACUACUUUAAAUAACAAAAAGAUUUUUAUAACAACUGCUUUUAGUCUUGCUAUCUCAAUUGGAUAAGUUAACCCUAUUAUAUACUAACAAUGCUGAUAAAAAAAAACUUAAGACGAACAUCAUGAUCAAGGGCAGCGAGCCAGUCUCGAAUACAACUUUUAAUAGUUGAAACAAGUGGACAUAAGUUAAGUGUUUACUAAAAAUAAUCAUCUUCCUAAACGACGUUUUUACAUAAAGAUUCUCUAUAGAACAAACAUUCGAAGGGCAAGAAAAAUUUCCUGUUUAUAUAUGAUUAUACAAGAUUGCAAUACAAGGCAAUAGAGGGAUUGACUCUUUCAUUUGUUAUAAUAGUUCACUAUGAAGAACGGUUCAACUGUGAAGUAUACAACCAAAAAAUUGCUUCUAACUUGUCAAAAUAUUGUCAAUAUAUGAUAGAAGAGAGCCAUCUUCGUGAAGCCAAAGUAAAAAUAUUUCAACAAUUUGGCAUAAAUACUGUCGUAACGGAACUGAAGUAAAAACUCACAGGACGACCUUGGCCUUGAGGUGUAGCAACUCAAAGGGAAAAUACAAUGUCCAAUUAUCCACUUAUCGUGUUUUAAACCUUCAUAAGCAAAAUUACGUUAUUGUCUUUAAAAUUAUUCACGAACUAUAUGACCCAUAAACAAUCAGUCUUGUUAUUUAAAAGAAGUCAAGAAUUUUCUGGAUAACACAAUAUUAUUUCUCAAAAUGUAAUAAAUAUCAGUUUACAGUACUUGUUUAUGUAAUAUAUAUUUAUAUAGAGCCACAUCAAUAUACUUUUAAUGGUCUUUACAAUUUAGAUUGUAUCAAUAAGUUCGUAAACAAUAAAAUCAAUAAAAAAACGACACAAAAA